rnacentral:lncRNA from 1 species
AUUAUAUACUGAUACACUGACUCCAAUGCAACUGCAGAAUAAGAUAUCAAAGUGACGUAUGUAAAAGAAGCGUACAGUGUGUGUGUUAUUAUUAUUAUUUGUUGUUGUUUUCAUUUUUUCAUUGUAUUCUGUUAUUGCAGGACUGUGUCCAGGCCACUGUGCCUCAUCCACUGUCCACAUUCUCAACUUCUCUGCCAGUACAACAUUAAGAAGUCUUCAGUCUGAAAACACAGUUUGAAGCAUGACAACCACGUAAGUGUAGAAUUCUUCUGUC